rnacentral:rRNA from 1 species
CAAUAGCGUAUAUUUAAGUUGUUGCAGUUAAAAAGCUCGUAGUUGGAUUUCGGGUGGGACGCAGCGGUCUCGCAUUGCGUUUGUACUGCUGCAGCCCUCCUUCUUGCCGGGGGCGGCCUCUCGGACUUAACUGUCUGGGGGUCAGAAUCGGCGAUGUUACUUUGAGUAAAUUAGAGUGUUCAAAGCAAGCUUACGCUCUGAAUAUAAUAGCAUGGGAUAACACGACAGGACUCUGGCCUAUCGUGUUGGUCUAUAGGACCAGAGUAAUGAUUAAGAGGGACAGUCGGGGGCAUUCGUAUUCCGUUGUCAGAGGUGAAAUUCUUGGAUUUACGGAAGACGAACAUCUGCGAAAGCAUUUGCCAAGGAUGUUUNCAUUGA